GUCUGUGAACAAGGCUCUGCAAUAGGCAAAGGGCAGCGCAGGUAUGAGGUGGGUAUUUUCUUCUCCCCGUUUCUGUGUGAAACUGUAGAAGAAAGCCGAGAAGCGCCAGGGAAGAGCUUGCUAAGGAAAAAGAAAAAUGUGAAAUCUAAAAUGCUCCAGCUGGCUGUGUGUCCCAGACCACCAGGGAGCGUACCUGUCUCCUCCCCCCCUCCAGCUGACAGUGGAAGCCUUUGUUCCAAGAGGCAGCCGGUGACAUCUUUCCCAGCUCUCCUUGCCAGGCAAGGAGCCAGCGUUCCAGGAAAGCUUGUGUGUGCAGGUGUGUUUCCAGGGGUUCCAAGCGUCAGAGAGAGCAGGCAGACAAGAAGAGAAUGUGGACAAUCCACAGAUCCGGUUUCCGCUGGGGCAUCAGGGCUGGGCUAUGUUCCUGGGCCUUGGCGAUGUACUUUCCUCCAGCCAAUAUUAGCAAUCUUAUGAAUGAAGCUAUAUGGCCAAGGUUAGAAUCAGAAAGGAGGGGUGUGUGUGUGUGUCCACAAGCCAUAUUAUUUCAAGAAGCCCUAACAAUAAAACUGGAGGCAGAGGGCACAGAGCGACCCACCCUCUGCUCUGCAAAGCACUCUCUGCAGUCUGCCCAGCAGCCAUGCAGCCGGACUCCUGAAUGUGAAACAGCCACCAGGCUGAAGGGAACAAGCUCCAAGACAUGGGCCCACGCUGGCCACCAGACACGCAAACCUACAGGAUAAAUACUUUCCUUUGACUUGGGUUUUGUCUAGGUUUUUAGUUACAGUUUUUUUACAGUGCUGUGGAACCAACCCCAAGAAGCAUGGAAGUUAGGCAAGGUUUGCACCCUCGGCCCUGGGCAUGAUGAGGGCCGUUUUUUUACACAGCACCCCAUGGUGACGGGAGAUGGGCGAGGGCCGGACAAGAACAGAGAUCUCAACACAACUACACGGAUACACGGAUAUCACUGCUUGUGUCAUGGACAACACAGUCCACCUCUGUGCUCCUACAACCUUCUCUAUGCAACUGAUACAUAGAUUAAAUAUAUAAUAAUCAGGUAAAAUAUCUCUAUCAUACACAGUGUGACUCUUUCUUUAUGACACAGCGAGGCUAGCUGAGUGUGGUGGUCUACGCCUGUAGUCUCAGUGCUGAGGGUGCUGAGGCAGGGGGAUCCCAGGUCUGAGGUCACCUUGGACUAAACAAUGCAUUCCCUGCCAGCCGAAGCCAGACUAACUUAAUACAAGCAAAUAAACAGACAAAGAUAAAAUUAGGGAGUAGGAGCAAAACUAAGACAACACCAGUGUAGCUGGGUGUGGUGCACGCCUUUAACCCCAGCUUUUGGGAAGCAGAAAAGGGCAGGUCUCAGAAUUUGAGGCCUCGAUUGCAUAGCAAGAUCCAGGCCAGCCAGGGCUGUGUAAUUAAGACCCUGUCUCUU
ensembl:processed_transcript Gm4651 predicted gene 4651